rnacentral:rRNA from 1 species
CCAGACUCCUACGGGAGGCAGCAGUGAGGAAUAUUGGUCAAUGGGCGGAAGCCUGAACCAGCCAAGUCGCGUGAGGGAGGACGGCCCUAUGGGUUGUAAACCUCUUUUGCCGGGGAGCAACGGGCGUCACGUGUGGCGCCACGGAGAGUACCCGGAGAAAAAGCAUCGGCUAACUCCGUGCCAGCAGCCGCGGUAAUACGGAGGAUGCGAGCGUUAUCCGGAUUUAUUGGGUUUAAAGGGUGCGUAGGCGGCUCGUUAAGACGGGGUUCAAUUGGAGGGGCCCAACCCCUCCCCGCCAUUGAAACUGGCGCUCUUGAGUGGAAGAGAAGUAUGCGGAAUGCGUGGUGUGGCGGUGAAAUGCAUAGAUAUCGCGCAGAACCCCGAUUGCGAAGGCAGCAUGCCGGCUUCCGACUGACGCUGAAGCACGAAAGCGUGGGGAUCGAACAGGAUUAGAUACCCCAGUAA